CGGCGAGUGAAGCGGCAAUAGCUCAAAUUUGAAAGCUGGCGCCUUCGGCGUCCGCGUUGUAAUUUGUAGAGGAUGCUUCGGCGAGGACUCCUGCCUAAGUUCCCUGGAAUGGGACGUCACAGAGGGUGAGAAUCCCGUAUGUGGCGGGCGGUCCAAGCCAUGUGAAGCUCCUUCGACGAGUCGAGUUGUUUGGGAAUGCAGCUCUAAAUGGGAGGUAAAUUUCUUCUAAAGCUAAAUACCGGCCAGAGACCGAUAGCGCACAAGUAGAGUGAUCGAAAGAUGAAAAGCACUUUGGAAAGAGAGUUAAAAAGUACGUGAAAUUGUUGAAAGGGAAGCGCUUGCAACCAGACUCGCUCGCAGUUGCUCAGCCCGCCUCCUGGCGGGUGUACUCUUCUGCGAUCGGGCCAGCAUCAGUUCGGGCGGCCGGAUAAAGGUGUCGGGAAUGUAGCACCCUUCGGGGUGUGUUAUAGCCCGGCGCGGAAUGCGGCCAGCCUGGACUGAGGAUCUCGCAAGGAUGCUGGCGUAAUGGUUGUAAGCGGCCCGUCUUGAAACACGGACCAAGGAGUCUAACAUCUAUGCGAGUGUUUGGGUGUCAAACCCAUGCGCGUAAUGAAAGUGAACGGAGGUGGGAACCCGCAAGGGUGCACCAUCGACCGAUCCUGAUGUCUUCGGAUGGAUUUGAGUAAGAGCAUAGCUGUUGGGACCCGAAAGAUGGUGAACUAUGCCUGAAUAGGGUGAAGCCAGAGGAAACUCUGGUGGAGGCUCGCAGCGGUUCUGACGUGCAAAUCGAUCGUCAAAUUUGGGUAUAGGGGCGAAAG
rnacentral:rRNA from 1 species